rnacentral:rRNA from 1 species
UACGGGAGGGGCAAGCGUUGUUCGGAAUUACUGGGCGUAAAGGGCUCGUAGGCGGCCAACUAAGUCGGACGUGAAAUCCCUCGGCUUAACCGGGGAACUGCGUCCGAUACUGGAUGGCUGGAGGUUGGGAGAGGGAUGCGGAAUUCCAGGUGUAGCGGUGAAAUGCGUAGAUAUCUGGAGGAACACCGGUGGCGAAGGCGACAUCCUGGACCAACACUGACGCUGAGUGAGCGAAAGCCAGGGGAGCAAACGGG